ensembl:lncRNA
CCAGCUUUGAUCUGUCAGUUGACCUUUCACCCCGGAAGUACCGCUCUGUUUCUUUUUUUAAUAUAUAUUUUUGUUGUGAUGGGAACUCGUCACUUUCUGUUGUCUUUUGGUUGUGAACUUCCACAUUUAUGUGAAAAUACCAGAUAAUUCCGUUAAUCCUAUUUGAGUUACAUUUAAUUUAUAUUAAUGAGUGUUUGUUUUGGAAAAGAAAAAAACAAAACGGAACAGCUGACAGCUAACGGCAGUUAGCUAAGAUAUUAGCUGUUAGCCCGAAGCUCCGUAAACGUUGAUGUUGAUGGUAAACAGCAGCAGACGGUGAAACUUUCUCCAGCUGUUUCAACAUGGAUGUCAGCAUCGCCGUAUCGCUGAUCCGAGGCCAGAUGGGAACCGUGGUGGAGCGUGCGGUGAAUGGCGCGGUGGAGACGGUGCUGGCCGAGAUGCUCAAAGUGGUUGGAGUCAAAUUUGAGGAGCUCAAAGCCCAAGUGGCGCUGAUGAAGAGGGACCUUGCAGCGCUGCAGCGAGAGAAAGCCCUGAAAGAAAAGGAAAACGACAACAUUCGAGCCAAGCUGCGCUACACUGAGCUGAAGCUGAAGUACUACAGGCAGGGGGUGGAGGAGGAGCUGCAGCAGAGGGCCUCUGCCUCCACUCUGGUCCGCAUCCACCCAUCCUCUUUCCCCCAACCACAGAGAGGUAGCCCAGGCAACGCCCCCACCGAGACCUCGCCAUCCUGCUCCGCUCAAGAAUGCACCUCUCCACAGAGCACAAGCACACAUGCCACCAGAGCGCGCUAUCCCUCAGAUAUGCAAGCCGACAACUUAGACUCAUCCAACCUCCUGCUACCCGUCACACUGUCGGUGAACACAACAGCAGAGUUUCUGGGGAGCAGCACAGUGUUGUUCUGUCACACAGAGCAGGACACAGCUGGGUCCGUGGACACUGUGGGGGCUCCUCCUCUGCUGCAGGCCCUGACUCAGUCUGCAGCGGGUCGUCUGUCCCCAGAUGGCUCCACACAGGCUGACAGCUCCACGCCGCCCUCCGCUCCUCCACAGUCCUGGUUGUUUCCUGUCGGGAUCCAGGUGAAGCAGGAGGCCCAGCAGGAGGACGAAGAGGAGGAAGAGGUGAUCUGCAUCAAGGGAGAGCCGGAGGAAGAGCAGGAGGUGAUGGCCACCUUACUGUUGGAGUGCCAGGUGCAGCAGUGUCCGGAGUCGGAGGCUCAGAGUUCAGAGUGGUCAGGACUUCCAGGAAGUCAGAGAACCCACAGCUCAGCUUUAAGCUCAGCAGGACCGAGCACACACUUCAUGCUUCAGCCAACAGAGGGAUCGAUGGUGGCCUUACCUUCUGCUGUCCCUCCUCGUCAGGGAGUGCGGCCCUGGACCAAAGACUUCAGCCUCUACGAAGAGUACAAGCUGCGCAAGAACGAGCUCCGCCGGCGGAGUCUCCACAGACGCCGGGAGCUGGAGAAGUCCCUGCCUCAGCCGCUGCUGGCUGAUCUGGUGCGGGAACGCAGAGAGAAGACCAGACUGAGGGUGGCCAGAUGGAGGGCGAAGAGGAAGCUGCAGGCCUGUCUGAACCAGGCUCAGGCUCAAAGCGGCACUGCAGGUCUUUCUCAGGCUGGUUUUCCUGUCAGCAGCCAGCGUCAGGAGCAGCUCCGAGCGUCUGCCGCGUCCAGCAGCUUCCCCAACAACAACAACGUAUCAGCAGCCUCCCUCCCUUUCAUAAGCUCCACCUCCUCCCCCUCUCAGCUGCUCAGAGGCCCUAACAUGUCCGCUCAUCAGCACGCCGUGACGUCAACGUCGAACUCGUCCUUCCCCCAGGUCAGCCUAUCACAGCCCAGUAUCUCUCUGACGGACACAGACAUCUUACCGUGA